ensembl:lncRNA
CUGAUAUUAAGAUGAAAACAUUGUUAAGACGUCUAGUAGCCUGACUUCACGAACAUGCGUGUGUGGUUUUCAUGGCCGCGUUUAAAACCGGGAAAACAUAAACAGCGCUAACGGCUAACUGUGUUCUGUGACACCCCUGAUUGAUUAAUAUUAAAUCGAUCUCAUACUCGUCGUGACAUAAGGAUCCGUAUCCGUAUCGACGAGUGCCAACAGAUACGUUUUUAUGCUUGUAUCUAGCCUGAAAAAAUGGCAUCGAUUCAUCCGUAGUGGUUUUUUAAAAAAAAAAAAAAAUCCUCUUUUAAAACAGAACACCGAAAGCCGUUACUGAGCGUAACAACACUCCCAUGAAAAAAUGUCUUCAUGAUGGCCAUGAGAACAUUCCUCAGAAGUUUUGUCACAGAACUGACAAAUCAACCCAGAACACUGUGCACCUUUGUUCCCCGAUGCUUAUUUACAUGUGUGAUCUGGAGGCCCCGUGCGUCAUGUGGAUUAGCAAGUACCUGCAGUGGUAUACAUGGAGGCAUUUGCAUUUUUCACACGUGCAUUUUUUUUUUUUUUGCACGAGAAAUUCACGGCAAGGAAUGAAACGGGGUUGAGUGGGAAAAAUGACAGAUGAAGCGACCAUGAUUUAGUGCGAUUCAGGGAAAUGAUUAAAAAUGCUCGGAUAGAUGGCGAUAUAUAUUACCACGAAAGAGAACGAUUGCUUGAUGGCUAUUUAUACGAAGCGUCACACCUAGAGUCAUAUCUUCAUGCUGCUCUUGCCUGGCUUCCCAGUGACGCUAAGCAGGGUUGAGCUUGCCCACUACCUGGAUGAGAGACCUCCUGGGGAAGUGGUAUUAGUAACGCCAGCAGGGGGCGCUCACCCUGUGGUCUGUGUGGGGCCUAAAACCACAAUAUAAUGUCAGGGACACUAUACUCAGGGUUGAGCUUGCCCACUACCUGGAUGAGAGACCUCCUGGGGAAGUGGUAUUAGUAACGCCAGCAGGGGGCGCUCACCCUGUGGUCUGUGUGGGGCCUAAAACCACAAUAUAAUGUCA